CUUUCUAGCAAUAUGUUUGUUAUGCUAUUUUAUCAUCAUUUCUAAAAUUUUAGUUCGAUGAAAUAUUAUUGCUCAGCUGUUAUAAACUAUACGCAUGACAUUGUCUAGUAAUUUACAGUAAAAAAAAAGGGGGGAUGCACGGACAAAGACGAAAUUAAAUCAUCAUUUCAGAAACAAGAAAAAUAGAUUCGCGUAGCUCUUAAUCAAUUCCAGAAAACUUGGUAAAUAAUGAUCUUCAAGCACGAAAACUGAUAAAGAAAAAAUGCAUAAACGUCGUACGAAAAUAAGUUUCAACACACGUGUCAAAAACCUAAUAGAAUCGUCCACUGGAAAAACGAUAUCGGGUUAAUCUGUUGUCUUGCAUUCCCGUUUUUUUUUUAUCCAAAUGAACGACAUUUUUUUUAUUACCUAUAAAAACAAGAAAAUUCCUAAUGAUUUGUUAAUAUUCAGUUCUUUAAUUUGAUGCCUUCACCCUGUCCACAUUUGGACAAGUCUAUUUCUAUGAGAUGAUGCAUCUUACGGACUGAUGACAAAUAAGGUAAACGAACUUAUUGUGUAAUUGGUUUUAAACACAAGUUUCGUUCCGCAAAAUUAUUUGCGCAAACGACAUUUCAAGGUCAGUUAUAAUUGAUUUGUCU
rnacentral:lncRNA from 1 species